ensembl:lncRNA
CGUACCGUGACAGUGUCAAGUACGGCAGGAGAAUAUCAAACUGCCUGCUGCCGUGUAGAAAAAGGGCGCUGCCAGCAGAUGGCAGCAGAAUGGAAAAAUAAGCACAUAGGGAUGAGAUAGCGGACAAAAGAACUGAGAUUUCUAGCAGCUUAGUUUCACUAGCUGUUUUUGACUAUGCAAGGUAAGUUCAAGUUUAAUUGGAAAGGGGGAAUGUCCGAGGCAUGCUGACUUUUGAUGUGUAACCUUGGAGUGGAAAGGGCUCUAACCACUCACUUCUGAUUUCUGACAGAAGUUUUAAAACGAAACUUAUUUUAAAUAUAUUUACAGUGGUGUUUGCCUAUAAAACUUCUAACAUAUCACACUAGUCGUAUUCUGUGAAGAAUGAUUCUGAUGUUCUGCUGAACAAAUGCAUUGCAGCAGCAGAAACUGGAGAAGUAUUGGUUGUAACUGGGGCUGUCAACUUAUGCCCGGUUCAGAAAAGAAAGAAAGCCUCCAAGUUGUUUCUCUCUAACGUUUCUUACUUAGUGUUUCUCUCUCACUCUUCUUACUUAGAUCGCCCAGUGUGAGAAGCUGCAAAUAACUUAUACACUGUGAAUGUGUUUGGUGCUGCUUUUUCUUUGGUGCUGCGCGUGGGUGUGUGUGUGUAUUCCCAGAAGAGAAACAAGGAGGAGUGGAUGAGUAUUGCCAGGCACGCCAGUUCAAAGUUACUUCUUAAACAAGGAUUUUUUAAGUAGACAAAUAUUAACCAUGGCCCACCAGAGAUGAGAAAGCUUCUCCAUCUAGGGACAAUGAGGCCUGGUCAGGAAAGUAGAUGACCUGGUUCUGAUCCUGCCAAUGUCUGCUGUGUUUCUCAACGCUGGAACUGGAAAUGAAGAGCUCAAGUAUACAAAGAUGAUUGCCAAAGGCACGAAAGGAUUGCAGAAGGCAGUGAGAAAAAGGUACCGAGGUGAAACUGGAGGUGACUGAACAUGCAUUAAGACUGCUUUGGAGGACAGUGGCUUGGGCUGGUCCUCCCUUUAUUGCUAAAGAAAGACUCCUGUUAAAUUUCAGAGACAUUUAACCUGAAUUAUGGCAACAGAACAUUACUGACACAGAAGCUGAAAUUACAUCCCAACUCAGUACGUAAAAAAGCUGUAAUGUAAUGUUGAAUGAAUUUAGUGACUACUGAAAGAAACACUUUUUAAAAUCCUCCGUUUCUAUUUAAAGACUUUUUUUACUGAAAAGGCAGUCCUAAAAGGAUGAACAUCUGUUGCAUAGCAUGAUUUGUUUGUUUGUUUAUAUUAAGAAGUAUCUGUAAGCAGUGCAAAAUGGGGAGAGGGUAUACUCCAUGUCAGUUUAUCUACCAUGCGUCACACUGGGGUAAAUACCAGCUGGUACACGAGAAAGGCCCAGGCAAAUGUAAGCCAACAGAAGUAAGUAUGGACAGCUUGAGGAGCAGUCUGAGAAAACAAAUGGAGUUAGCAGCAGCCACAGCUCCCCACUUUCCUAGUAGCAUUUGUUGGUUAGAAUGUCAUUAGUCCAUCUUGGCAAGAGGUGCUUGAGUUGGUUGCUAGAAGGCAGUCCUGCUCUGCCCUUACAGUAAGCCACAAAGAAAAUAGUAUCAUGGGCCUUUCAUCUUUCAAACUGCUGCUCCUGCCUUACUUUACUUGUGUGAGCAGUCCUGAUGAGUUGAUGGGGACAAUUAGACAUGUUUGAGUAGUGUCAGAGGCUUUACAAUUAUACCUGAAUUUCAAACCAGUAACUGAUAGGUUGUACAAGUCCUUUUACUUAAUUUUAUCAUAUCAUAGAAUCAUAGAAUGUUCUGGUUUGAAAAGGACCUCAAAGAUCAUCUAGUUUCAACCCCCCUGCUAUGUUCAGGGUUGCCAACCACCAGCCCAGGCUGCCCAGAGCCACAUCCAGCCUGGCCUUGAAUGCCUCCAGGGAUGGGGCGUUCACAACCUCCUUGGGCAACCUGUUCCAAUGUGUCACCACCCUCUGUGUGAAAAACUCCUUCCUAAUAUCUAACUUAAACCUCCCCUGUCUUAGUUUAAAACCAUUCCCCCUUGUCCUAUCACUAUCCACCCUCGUAAACAGUCGUAAUUUUAUGUGGCUCGUGACAGAACACUGUGUUGGUAGCAAGGUACUGUACUGUGGCUGUGAGUCCUAAAAAUCUGUCACCAGCUCUGUUGUCAUCCCUCCACAACUCCAGGGAAAUCCUUGAGCUCUAUUUCUUAACAGCAUGAUAAAUGAUGCAUGUUAAAAACCAAAAUUAUCUUUCUCCUUUCUAUCUGUCCCCUCAAGUUCUGGCCAAAGCUUUAGGCCAGUUCAGCUCUCUCGUAUUCUGCAACAGUGAUAGGCAGAAGAGCUGGUAGGACUUGUGACCUUUUAAUUUUAGAGUGCUAUGUUUUAGCUAAGAGCAAGAGCGGAACACUGGAUUUUUUGUUCCAACCUCCUAAGGUUCAAACAGUAAUGUGUGAACGUGGUACUGUUUAAUAUAGUUCAUAUUAUAGAGGCUGAGCUGUCAGGCAGCGCGUUGUGAAGUCUUCCAGAGAGACCUGCUCCCUCUGGGAACAAGAUGACCUGCAUCACAAUGACAAUUUGGGGCUGUUCCACAUUUACUGCCAGCACCUGCUCCUGACUGGCCCCAGUGAGUGGGCCUCCCAGAGGACACACUGCACGUGUUGAGUGUUGCUCAAUCAUCUCUGCUGCUGGUUGACAGUACGGUAAUGUAAUAAACAUUGAAAACAGAACUGAGUUCCCUGGUAAAAUAUGACUUUCUCAGAAAAAGUUGAGACAUUUGCUCAAAAAAAGUUUGAAGAAAUCUGGUUUUUCUAUUUAACCUGUGUGAGAAUCAACUUGAAGGUACCGUGUCAGUGUAGCCUACAGGGCAUUCAGUCAGAAGUCACAACUCUGCAAUUGAAUGUUGUUCUGGAAGUGUGCACAGAAUUUCAUUUCAGUUAGGUAACUCAUGCGUUUUCUGUUUUAGCAUUUGAUUUCCUCCUUGUGAGUAUAUAAUUUCUUCUCUAACUGAUUUCAUGGACCUUCCCUAGAAUUUUCUUCUGUAGCAGUGAAGGCUAUUUAAUUUAAACACAUGGUCCUAAGGCUUGUGUGGAACCGAGAAGACGUAGUAAAUACAUUUGUUCUAUUUUGUCAACUUUGCCAACUAUCAAUGCCAGAACAUUGCUAUUUUCUUACAGUCAAAGGAUUGCAUUUUCUGACUCAGAUAAAAUGAGAAAUUUUCAUUCAGGCCUUUUUAAAGUUUUGCAGUCCUGAGAGUGUAAGUGCUGGAGAGCAAAAUGUUUCCAUCAGCUGCACUAUUCAGAGACGCAGAAAAGAACAGCACAUGGCCAGAUUUUUCACACUCUGUUCUUGUGUGUGUAAACUUUUCUGACAGUAUCUAUAGUUAUAACUUCUGCAAAAUCAGAGUUGUGUGAAUUUUUCGUAACACCAGAAUUUAGUUACCGUGGCAGAGUCAGAGGAACCAGAGGUGUCUUUUCUGAUACCCACUUGGAGAAUUAUCUUCUGCUCAUCUAAAGAAAGCCACCUUCCCUGACAGUACUGAUAAUAAAUUAAUUACUGACAUCACCUGUUGCAUCACUUGUUAGUUGAUGCACACAAGUGCAUCACCUUUUGAAAACAAGAGUUAGAAUAAUACUACUCUGCAGGUAUUUGGAAAGUUAAAAUGCAUGUUCUGAAAAUUAUUCCCUCUGUGCUUCUCUUACAUUUUUCUAAUGUAUACAUUUCUAAAGAAACACGGGAAAGUAUUCAUUACGUUAUGUAUAGCUCUGUAUUUCUUGCAUGAUAGCACAGCAGCCUAAUAUUCAGGAACAGAAAUUCCCCUCUUAGUCCAUCAAAGCUUUUUCUAUGUUUGUCAUACCAAUAACUGAAAUCAUUAUUUUAUGCUUCUAGGUACUGUACAAAAGAAAAAAGGAUGAUCACAGCUUGAACAUCUUACAUACUUUUUUCCUUCUGGUACUUGUCUAAAUUUUGUGAUUGAUAUGAUGCUUAUGUCAAAUUCUCAUGGUGUUUGUGAUUUUCACUUAAUCUUCUUCUUAUGCAUGUGGAAGAAGAAACUAUGAUCAGGUUUGUCUAAUGAGCUCGCUUAAGCCUACAUGGAUGUUUUACGUGGAUGACAUGAAGAUGGUAAUAGUUAAUUAAGAAAUAAUAGAUUUAAAUAGAACUUGGAGAUGCCUAGCAGUACUGCAACUGAGUCUGUUGUCAGCUUCAGCCAAGAGAUGUUUGCAGUUUAUCUAAGAAGGGCAGAUUUCCUUUGCUUUGUACCUCUGAGACUUUGUCCCCAGCUGAGUGUCCUUGCUGUAAGCUGACUGCAUGUCAUGACCAUGCUGCUGGCAGACCCUGUUUUCCUUCCAAUUACGGUCCUGGGCAUAGAAGUGGAUCUGUGGAGCACAUAAUCAGUUUUCCUCUGGCUUGGAUGAUCGGAAGCUAGGGCUGUCCCUCAGUGUGGACAGGAUUUCUGAGCCUGACCAAGGAAAUCUAGGUAUAUGCUUACAUUUCUCACUCUCGGCAUUUCUGAUUUUUGACAACUAAGGCUCUUUGAGGAUUACUGUUUGGCUAAAUACUAUCAGAGCUUCGUUGUUCUGAUAUUAAGAAUUUCACUGUCAGAAGCAGGAAGGACAACAGCAGUUAUUCCCGAAACUAUAGGAAGGGCAACAUCUACUUUUCUUAGUAGUUUUGAAAUGGUUUAUCUUGUGUGUGUGCGUGCAGUGUCCUCACAUAUGUGUGUGUACACAUUUGGACAAUAUCCAUAAAUAAAGCAGUAAUGGUCAUGUAUCUUUGACUGGGUAGCUGGUUCAUCAAGGCAGUAUCUCUGGAAGAGCUUCCAUAAUCUCUUUUAGUAACUUAAAGCUACUUUUAGCAAGACAUGCACGCGUACACACACAUACAUCUCUGCCAGAGAACGAUUUCAUUUUUUCCCCUUGCAUAUGUGGAAUUUCUCCCCCAAAUUACUUUGGCCUGGUGCCCAGAAGUCCACAGCAGUCAAUGGCUUCAGUGGCAUGUUUAAGAUCUGCGUGAAAUAAGUCUUUAUGCUAACAGAAAGGAGAAAGUCGCAGUUUUUGGGACACAUGGCACUUGUUACUACUUCUCUCCAGAGACACAGAGAUUUAGAAUCAUGAGUUUUGUGUAUAAAAAAGCUGUACUGGGUUAUAACUAGUGAUUCUACAAAAUAUUAUUUCUAUUUUUUCCUUUCACCCCUGAGGGUUUUAGUGGCAGACAUAACAUGUCAUAGGAAGACAGAGGAAAGAAAGCAAUGCUUAUGGUAUUUUCAUUACAGAUACAGAAUAUCAGAUGAGGUGAUGUGUGGUGUUAAUACCAUAUUGACACUCAUUUCUGAUUACCUGUAUUGUUUUGGUCUUUACAGUUUGGUCAUCUUGUGAUCAGCAGAAUCAUAGAAUAUCUUAGGUUGGAAGGGGAUCGUAAAGAUAAACAUUGUUCCAACACCUGUGCCAAGGGCAGGGUUACCAGCCAUUACAUCAGGCUGCCCCGAGCCCCAUCCAACCUGGCCUUGAAUGCCUCCAGAGAUGGCGCAUCAACGACUUCUCUGGGCAACCUGCUCCACUGCCUCACUAUCUUCUGAGUAAAAUCUUCCUCAUAACAUCUAACCUAAACCUCCCUUCUUUUGGUUUAAAGCCAUUCCCCCUUGUCCUAUCACUACCUGUGUAAAAAAUCUGUCUCCUUCCUGUUUGUAAGCUCUCUUUAAGUAUUGGAAGGCCACAAUGAAGUCUCCUUGGGGCUUUCUUUUCUCCAGGCUUUACAAGCCCAACUCCCUCAACGUUUUCUUUGUAGGAGAGAUGUUCCAGCCCUCUGAUCAUGUUUGUGGCCCUCCUCUGGACCUGGUCCAACAGCUCCACAUCCCUCCUGUACCAGGUGCCCCAGGCUUGGAUGCAGUACACCAGAUGGGGCCUCAUGAGGGCAAAGCAGAGGGACACAAUCACCUCCCUCACCCCUCUGGCAACCCCACUUUUGAUGCACACCAGGAUACAGUUGGCCUUCCAGGCUGCAAGUGCACACUAGUGGAUAAUAGAUAGUAAAGGAUAAUGGAUAAUAUCAGAUAAUAGAGAUAAAGCUGCCAUUCCACAUCAUAUGUGUUGUUUGUAACUUCUGCAGUGUAUUUAGAGUAUGUAGAUAGGACUUAUGUACAAAUCUUCCAUCUUUAAGCUCAAAGAGCAAUAAAAGAUAUUUAUUUAUAAACUGGAGUAUAAAUAUGCAUAACAUUUUUUGUGAAGGAAGCUUUCCUACCCACUUAAUUGGAAGUAAAGCGAUAAAAAUGAAUAAUAGAAAUAUGGAUGAUGAUCCAAUGUAAGGGGUGAUUGCUUUCCUUAGCUAAAAAGACAAUUGUAUGUAGGUUGCUCUGAAAGCAAUGCCUCCUGUUCAUUUCCAUAGAAACUACAACAAUUACAAAGAGCAUAAUACCACUACCUGAUAGAGCAAAUUCUCUGCUACAAAACGCUAUUUUUCAAUGUAGUCAUCACCAUUAGCUAUGUAUUUUUGCUAGUGAUGAAUAAGAGUGAACAUUCAUGAAACCCACUUGGUGCAAACUUUGUGAUAGUCCAACGUUGCCACUUCAUGAAUUGAAGCUGAUAUUCAGCUCUGUACACUGACUGUAAUCCACCAAUUCUCGUGGAUGAGCUGAUGGAGACAGUCUUUGUUUUGUAGUGUGACAACUGUGCAUGGCUGUCCGGAACGUGGCUUGUCUUUCAUGUCUGUGCUCACAUCCACUCUUUGGUCUCCAUAAAUGUUCAGCAAGCAUUGAUGAACACCACUGGGUCCCCUUUUUUCCAUAUGAAGGAAGUCAGUGGCAAAACUUUGCUUCAUAUGCACUUCCAUGUCAGACACCAUUCUGUCAGUCUGCCCCUCUGCUGCUGUCUGCCACAGGGCAACAAAAUAUAACGAAAUAUUGGUGGGAAGAUUCAACCUCUGCUGCCAUACCACAAACAUCUGCCUCUGACCUCGUGGGCCAGUAUAGUAAAAGAGGAGGUGCUAGUUUCAUAGUAGCCCUCAUAUGUCAAGUCUUAUAUUAACAAGACAGAAAUGAGAAGGCUUUUCUUCUAAGUGGAUGUGUAUUGCUCUCCUUCCUUUACACAGAGGAUUUGGGCCCUGGAAACUUGUAGUAAUGUAUUGCAAACUAUCCCAAUCAGGUUAUGAACAGAAAACUCUCUGAAAUUACAACUAGAUGGCAUAUCUGCUGCACAAAGUUGAUGUAUAUGAAGGGAACUGCCUUACAGAAGUAAGGCAUUUUAUUAUAUUUAGAAAACUCUACUUGCAGUCAAAUAAUUUUAUAUUAAUUCCUAUAUUGAACUAGCCAUGAAACUGACUUUUCAUUAAAGAUAAUCUGAAACAGAAUGUUCUCCCCCAUCCUCAGAUGUCUGUGUUUUAAAACCAGGGAGAAAACAUCAGGAAUUGUGUGUGAGGUAAAGACACUCAUGUAGUGACAUUUAAGAAGUGGCUGCUCAAGUCAUGUAUCAAAAUAAAAUACUGUUGUAUAAACACUAAAGCCAUGUGUACUGUGCCAGAUGAGCCUUGAUAUCUUUUGUUUUGUACAUGAAAAUUUCAGAGGAAUAAUAUGAAAAAAUUCUCUUUUCUCAUAUGACUGCAUCUUCUUUCUUCUUCCAAGACCCCAAGUGCUUACGUUAACUAAAUUUGCUUGUGCAUACCUUCUUACUAUUGACCUGAACAGAAAUUCCUUGUAAGUACU